AGAGUUUGAUCAUGGGCUCAGGAUGGACGCUAGCUACAGGCUUUAACACAUGCAAGUCGAGGGGCAGCAUGAAGGGAAGCUUGCUUCCUUUUGAUGGCGACCGGCGCACGGGUGAGUAACGCGUAUCGAACCUGCCCUGUACACGGGAACAGCCUUGCGAAAGUAAGAUUAAUGCCCGAUGUUGAGAUUCCGCCGCAUGACGGAGUUUCAAAGAUUUAUCGGUACAGGAUGGCGAUGCGUCCCAUUAGCUUGUUGGCGGGGUAACGGCCCACCAAGGCGACGAUGGGUAGGGGUUCUGAGAGGAAGGUCCCCCACAUUGGAACUGAGACACGGUCCAAACUCCUACGGGAGGCAGCAGUGAGGAAUAUUGGUCAAUGGUCGCGAGACUGAACCAGCCAAGUAGCGUGCAGGAUGACGGCCCUCCGGGUUGUAAACUGCUUUUAGUUGGGAAUAAAAGGGCGUACGUGUACGUCGUAUUGUAUGUACCAUCAGAAAAAGGACCGGCUAAUUCCGUGCCAGCAGCCGCGGUAAUACGGAAGGUCCGGGCGUUAUCCGGAUUUAUUGGGUUUAAAGGGAGCGUAGGCGGGUUUUUAAGUCAGUUGUGAAAGUCUGCGGCUCAACCGUAGAAUUGCAGUUGAAACUGGAAGCCUUGAGUGCACGCAGGGGUGCCGGAAUUCAUGGUGUAGCGGUGAAAUGCUUAGAUAUCAUGAAGAACUCCGAAAGCGAAGGCAAGUGCCCGGAGUGCAACUGACGCUGAGGCUCGAAAGUGCGGGUAUCAAACAGGAUUAGAUACCCUGGUAGUCCGCACGGUAAACGAUGGAUACUCGCGGUGCGUGAGUAAUUGUGCGCCGCCAAGCGA
rnacentral:rRNA from 1 species